GACGAACGCUGGCGGCGUGCCUAAUACAUGCAAGUCGAGCGAAGUUUUUCUGGUGCUUGCACCGGAAAAACUUAGCGGCGAACGGGUGAGUAACACGUAAAGAACCUGCCUCAUAGACUGGGACAACUAUUGGAAACGAUAGCUAAUACCGGAUAAUAGCAUUAACUGCAUGGUUGAUGUUUAAAAGUUGGUUUUGCUAACACUAUGAGAUGGCUUUGCGGUGCAUUAGCUAGUUGGUGGGGUAAAGGCCUACCAAGGCGACGAUGCAUAGCCGACCUGAGAGGGUGAUCGGCCACACUGGGACUGAGACACGGCCCAGACUCCUACGGGAGGCAGCAGUAGGGAAUCUUCCGCAAUGGGCGAAAGCCUGACGGAGCAACGCCGCGUGAGUGAAGAAGGAUUUCGGUUCGUAAAGCUCUGUUGUUAGGGAAGAAUGAUUGUGUAGUAACUAUACACAGUAGAGGCGGUACCUAACCAGAAAGCCACGGCUAACUACGUG
rnacentral:rRNA from 1 species